AGCGAAAUGCGAUAAGUAAUGUGAAUGCAGAAAUUCAGUGAAUCAUCGAAUCUUGACGCCACCCUUGCGCUCCUUGGUAUUCCGAGGGGCAUGCCUGUUUGAGUGUCAUGUUAAUCAUCAACCCCCCUCGUUCGCGCGGGGGUGGCUUGGAAUUGGAGGAUUUAUUGUCGGCUCUCUAUCGAGUCGACUCCUCUUGAAGACAUUAGUCGGAACUCGGUCGCUCCGUCGCGGUACGCGGUGUGAUAACUUAUUCACCCAUCGGUAAACCCGCUUCAACGCGUCCGGCUGGCUUCUAACCCGCGCUUCAGUCGCAACUCUUGACAAUCUGACCUCAAAUCAGGUAGGACUACCCGCUGAACUUAAGCAUAUCAAUAAGCGGAGGAAAAGAAACUAACAAGGAUUCCCCUAGUAACUGCGAGUGAAGCGGGAAGAGCUCAAAUUUAAAAUCUGGCGGUCUCCGGCCGUCCGAGUUGUAAUCUGGAGAAGCGUCUUCCGCGC
rnacentral:rRNA from 1 species